rnacentral:rRNA from 1 species
AACGUAGGGGGCCAGCGUUGCUCGGAAUUACUGGGCGUAAAGGGUCCGUAGGCGGUGUGGCAAGUCGGUAGUGAAAUCUCUCGGCUUAACUGAGAGGCUGCUGCCGAAACUGCCAUGCUGGAGUGCGAGAGAGGCGAGUGGAAUUGCGGGUGUAGCGGUGAAAUGCGUAGAUAUCCGCAGGAACAUCCGAGGCGAAAGCGGCUCGCUGGAUCGCAACUGACGCUGAGGGACGAAAGCUAGGGGAGCAAACAGG